rnacentral:lncRNA from 1 species
UAGAAUUAUGAUGCUAAUGAUGAAUAGGUUGCAUUCUGGUUGAUGUGUACAUAUAAGUCCCCAUAAAAUGAGUAAAUAUGCUUUGCCAUCCCUAACAAAAUACUUGUAGACAUCUGUCAAUUACAUCAGUUUCUUUGGUUCCUAAUUCUUUAGAUACCAUGCAGGGAAAAAUCCCCCAUUAGUCAAGUCUGUUAUAGCCAAAAAGAAUCAACAGGCAUCUUAACUAUGUCCUUUCGUUCAUGCUUUUCAUAAUGAGAUCAUAUUGACUACAUAUCACAACUCACUAAUUGAAUAGAGGUCUUCUCUUGCGUGUUGGCAUUCCAAGUUCAUCAAUUAUGAGCCAGAAUUCCCAUCCUCAUCUCUCGAGAAAAUGUAGUACUGUCCACCUAUCACAUAUUUCACACACCUCAAUAUGGUAAUCACCCAGAUGCAGGAAAUAGGAUAUGCAUAACUUAAAUCACCAAUCAAAUUCAAAAAACUUACCCCUUUUAUUGUUUUUCCCCAAAAAAGUGAGGUCUUCACUCAAUUCGAACAAACCAUAAGGAAAUGUUCCCAAAUCUCCUCUUCCCAUGGACAGCCUGCCUGCCUUUAAUUGGACUCUAGCAGUAAUUUACUCCAUUUUGCAAAACCAGUCCAUAGAUGCCUACUAAACACCAAGAAAAAAACAUUUUUUGGUAAGUGAAAAAAGUGGGGAGGGAUGACCAAUGUUGACUAUACCUUAGGCCUUACCAUAGGAGUUUCAUACCCACCAUAGAAUAUUUGAUUAGGACCAUAACAAAUCAGUACCACCCGAGACCUUAACGUCAGAGAUUGGCAUAGCCCAUUCAGAAAAGCCCAACCAGCGUGUUUGCUGUUCAUAACUCUCUCCACAUAAGGUAACAGCACCCAAAAUCCGACAAAUCCUCUUAGAACAUUGAACACUCUUUAGUACUAACUGCAAGUAAUGCUAAAAUUCAUAGACGUUGCAUACACUCCGGGUUUUAAGAGAGUAGGCUAUUAAUGACAUUGGACCAAACCAUUCCACAUGACGCGUGCAUGUUGUGCAAAUGCGUCACAACAGUGCAACAUGCAUGGCCAUCUGUGGCCACACAAAAGCCAAACAGACUAUUAUCCCGGCUUUGCUGCCUUUUUUGUUUCUCAAUCCUUUCAUUUCCUUCCAAACAUUGCAAGUUUCAGAGAGAUCUAUGGCUAUCACUCAGAGAUAAAUCUCAUAUUAAUUGAGGGGUACAAGAAUCUCAAGGUUUGAAAUGGAACUCAAAGCUAUAUUUAAAGUCUCUUCUAUUUGAUUUUCAUAUUUGAAGAAAAAUGUCAUUUUCAUCACAGAAAUAAAAAUUCCUAAAACGGGUCUAGUUCUUCACAGUAUUUGUGAGAUUCUUUUGCAGGAUUCAAGUUUCAGACCUCUAGCUCAUUCAUCCUAGAAAUCCCAGGUAAAUCUGAUCAAAUUCACGAUUAUAUGCAUGCAUCCUCCUUAAAAGAUAAAAGUAUAUUUUAUGGUCUUGUUUGUAAUUAUUUUCUGCUCAUGCAACUCACCUAGUUGAAAAAUCUAGCUACGAAGUCAUGUGAUUGUUCAACAAGUAUCUUUGCACUAAUUCCCUCUAUCCCAACAAAGCAGCCAAUUUUCAGAAGUAGGGUUAUGCCAUGGUUCGAAUUGAUUUAGUUUGGUUCUUCUUUAGCAGUAAUUUUCAGACCAAACUGAAAAAUCCUCCUAAAACAUAAAUGAUCAAAAUUAAAUCCACGAUUUGGCAUGUACGUAAUAAAGACAUCAAGACAUCGUUUGGGCCUUAUAAUUCUUUUAAACAAGACCUCUGCAUUCUUCGGGACCCAUUUGUAAAAAAGGUCUCCAGGUCCAAAUGUAAUCAAAGUGUGGCCACUUAGACGUAGCUAGCAAAAAAUUUUAUGAGAUGCCAACCAAGAAUGUUAUCUGUUGGACAAGCACAAUUUCUGGGUACAUGAACUGCGGUCAGCUUGAUGAAGCCAGAGGGUUAUUCAAUACAAGUCCAGCCAAGGAUAUUGUCCUGUGGAUGGCUAUGGCCACCACAAUAGUUUUAAUUCUUAUAAGGAAUAGAACACUUUUAGCUUAAAAGUAAAGCAAGUGUAUAAGACUACAAAUUGACAAUGUGAAAGUAGUUUCUAUACAAUAGCAAUUCCUAAAAUUUUCUCGUAAACAGAAGAAAUGUUUGAGAAAAGAUAAUCUCAUUGGUUUUGGUGGGCAAACCUGAACUCAACAGAAAAUUCAAGUUGAACCCUUUUCAUCCCAAACCAAAGAAAAGUUAAUUAAUUGAGUUCAUUCUUUUCUUCUUCUUCUUUUUAAGUAUCUUUAAUUCUUUCUUUUCUGCACGCCCAGCUUAACAUGUUUAGUACAUCGAGCAAACCUCUUAAGUGUUUUAGAACAUCUGUUAUCCUUCCAUGGGCAAUUUGAUUGAGAUGGCUGCCAUUCUGCAAACACGUAGAUCUCAUACUACAACCUCAUAUAUUGGAACACAGAACUAGGGUCCAGUCAGUGGCCAAUCCAGAAACUAACAAACUAACUCUAAUAGUAUCAUAUAAGAGAGGCUAAUAAACAUAUAUAUGCUGAUUAUUAUUACAGUCCUGACUCAUGAAAAUUGUAAUCAAACAUUAGAUAUAUGACUAUUAAACUCUAUUCCAAAUAUAUAACCUUUAAAAUUCACAGAAAUGUGAAAAGACAAAGGCCAACUAAUGUCUAGGCAGCAGAGGAAUGCUCUAUUAGGAGCUGAUAUGUUCCUUCCUAAUUUGGGAAAAAAGCAAGAAAAGCUCUUCACAGCCUUCAAGAAACCUAUAAGCUUGAAAAGAUUUCACUAGUUACUUUAACGUCUUCCAGAUCUGACAUCCAAGAGUAGUUUUGUUUGGUGUGGUUUACAGCAACAGCAGCUAAUUAUGGACAGAAGUAUCAGCAGACAAAGAACAAGAGCUCAUACAUCUGAAGCCACCGACUACAUAAGCCGACUACCAGAUGUAAUUCUAGUCUAUAUACUUUCAUUCCUCCCUCUGAAAGACUGCAUCAAAAUAAGUGCCCUAUCCAAAAGAUGGAAGUACCUUUGGACAAAGACUUCUCGACUAAAUAUAAACGAAAUAGAGAUCAUUGCUAAGCUAGUGAGAAGCAAUUUCUACUGCACCAUCUGUGAGGACAUUUGGACUUCUUCUACUACUUGUUGCCAGAAGCAUUUGCUUAAGGUAGCAAGGAGCAUGUUUGCAGAUGUUGUAGACCGAACUCUCCUACUACACUCAGGCUGCACCCUGGACAAAUUCCAAUUGUCUUUCCUUUAUGAUGUCUAUGAUGGAUUGACAGAAAAGGUUGAUAUCUGGGUUAGGUAUGCUUGGGCAUCCAACAUCAAAGAUAUGGAGUUGAGCUUCUUUAAUCCAGGUCUGUUGGAAUACUUCGAUGAGAGGGUACCUGUUCGCGUAGGUGUCGACCUUAAUUUACUAUAUGAACUGCCUCAUAACUGUUUGGUAUCAAAGAUUCUAAGCAGUUUGAACAUGAACUGCUGCAAGCUAAGAGCAUCUGCUUUAAAAGUUUUUCCUUCUCUUCGAAGGAUAUUCCUAAAGCAGGUUGUCAUCCUUGAUUCUUCAGUUAGAGUUCUGGCAUCAAAAUUUCCUCUUCUAGAAGAUCUGAGCCUGGAAAAUUGUGUCAUCUCCAUACAAUUUUUUGUAUGUGAUGAAGACUUGAUGAUUAAAAGACUUUAUGUGACCAACUGCAAGCCCAAUGAGAUCCCCACCUUCGAGAUUAACAUAUCAACUCCGCGCCUAGUACUACUGGUGUUACAUGGAGUCUAUGUCAAAUUGACUUCUAUGAGGAAAGUGACACAACUGGUUGACGUUACAAUCGACAUCAGAUGUUUGCUUGUCAGCAAAGAACAAGCAGGUCUUACUUCAUUGCUGAGUGGAUUACGCCACUCCCAGAAUCUGACAUUAACAUCAUGGUGCAUUCAGGUAGCUUUUCUCUAUUCCUCUUGCUUGCAAAUUUUGAGCCAAAUACACUCAUUGUCACAUAUCAGUCUGUGGUCAUCAGGCUCUGCCUGCAGAUGAAAAUCUGACAGAUCAAGCGAGAUUCCGACUUCAAGAGGUGGUGCAACUAACUUUAGCGCUGUGCUUAGUAAAGCAUGAUCUUCCGAGGGUGGCCUGCCUCCUAAGGAGCUGUCCAAAUCUGAAAUAGCUGACUCUAACAUUGCAAGGAAAUGCUAGGGCAUAUAACAUGGUAUCAGAAAAAAGAAUCUUACAAGGAAAUAUUAUGAUAUUUUCUGCUCUAUCAGGAGCAUCUAACAUGUGAUCUUACUGUUUUCUUUAGGGUAAUUUCUUCCGUAAUGGUGGUCCAGACAUUUCAGACUGUGAUCCAGAGCACUACUUUCAAUCUGAAUGUUUGCCAUUCCCUUGUCUGGAAAACAGUCUCGAGAAAAUUACAGUUAAUGGGUUUGCUGGAAGAAAGAAUGAGAUGAACGUUGUCCGUUUUCUGCUGAGAAACGCAAGAGUCUUGGAGGAAAUUUCCAUCUUUUAUGAAGACGCAGAGGAGUAUUAUAGAGGAGCAAUGGGACUGUGGAGGCAAAAUGGGCAAUUCCAUCAAAUAUUUUGUGAGCUGCUAAGGUGUCAGAGGGUAUCGGCUCGAGCUGAGGUGAUAUUUUCAAGCCCCCCAAGCGAAUAUGUUAAUUAUGAAGGGUCCUACUAUCUGGUUCAGUAGUUAUGUCUAUGCUGUUCCUAAGUUCUCCCUUUCACAUCGUGCUGAGGAAGGCAUACGUUUUAUAUGGCAGAUCUCUUAUGUUUGGUACCAACUUGUUUGCAGUACUUAUAAAUAAAUACCGCUCAUGUGAUUAUGACGUCCAAUUGUGACAAAAUGACGUGUGGCCUUUUAUCCAUCUAUUCUUGUUAGCUCUAUUGAAUAUCCUCAGCUAUUAUCAGGAGUAAACCAAGCCUCUUGCAACCAAGGACCCAAUUCAUUUUGAGGUAGCUUGACUUCUGGCAAGUAUUUAACAUCCACCUUAGGCCAAACAAAAGAUAUGUACAUGCUACAUGCACACCUACUCAGUCAAGCAGUACAAAUCUUGUUUUAUUUUUACAGGGACGGAACACCUAGCAAACCAUCUAAUAAAAAAGCAUACAAAAAUCAACUUGACUGCCCCUGCAACAUAUUUUCAGCACCCCUGUGCCUUGUGUUUCUACAUUCUGAACACCGUUACAAUAGUUGAGAAUGAGUAGUUCUAGUCUAGAUGGAAUCCAUGAAGUGAAUAUGACAUGACAGAUUAAACAGAAUCCCAUAAAACCAUAUCACAUUUAGAGUCCCACAUAUAGCCAAUGCAAUUCAAACAUCAAAGACAUGAUUAACUAUAACAUUGCAAAUUCAAGAAUGCAGCACAUACCAACAACAUUAAGUGAGCAGGCUUCUUUGCCUUGGGUGCAAAAGAGUAAGAGGAUCCAGCCUCACGUGAUUGAUGAGAAAGCGCUCCUGGUUUCCAUAUCAACAGAAAGCAGGUGUAUUACAGAACAAGUAGCGAAAAUCCAGCCCAUGGUGGCGCCAGCGCCUCAAAUAGAGAUGUCCCAUCCAGUAGAGAGAUUGAAACUGGGCUCAGGUUGGAAUGAGAGAGAAAGCUAAGAACCCUGUAUAAAAAGCAAGAGAAUAGAAAAAAUGGAUGGAAAUUGUCAGGUUGGAUCUCAAAUUGGACCCAGUGUUAGAUCUUCUAUGGAACUAACCAUACAGGCAUCGAUUUGUAUUGUAAUCUUGGAAACGUUUACAGCGUGUUCUGUGUUUUGGCUAAGAGUUUGUGCAUAAGGAAUUUGACAUGUGAAGAAAACAACUCUCUCUCUCUCUCUCUCUCUCAAGCAAGUUUGAGAUUGAUUGACCAGAAAGAAUUACUGAAACGGGAGCUAUAUUAC